CAGUUGGCUGUCGUCCUGCGGCAGCGGUGGUUGUGUGCGCUCGUCCCUUGGAUUCACCACCAGGACUCCCACACACUCAGCUCCUGUGCCUUGAAAAGUGUUUAGUGUGCAAAUAAUCAAACCAAGAAACAAAAAAAAACAAAAGAAAAGAUGAAAAAACUACAAAGGAAAAUGUAACCAUUAGAGAGAAGUGGUUAAAGUGACAAAACCUGAAACUGUCGAGGACAUUAUUGUGUGAGUGAGAUAAGGACUUGCCGAGACAGUGGCCCGAUGACUACGACAAUGGCUACGCCCAAGGCCUAGGCAAGUUGAACGCCCACACAAGCGCACUGAAACACACACACACACACACAUACAUGCACACACAAUCGCAGGACGAACAGGACGAGCAGGACACGCAGCCUGGCAAAUGGCUUGUUUUCGGUUCUUAAAUUGUUUUAUUUUUCCCCAGCCAUCCUCCUUUAUUAUUUAGCGCGGUUCGUCCUGUGCACAGUGUGGACAUUAUGUGGCCAGGACCUCCUGCCAUAUGUUUACUCAGUAUUUGUGUGGGCGCUUCGGCUCGACGGGGGCGCUCUUUAAAUUGAAAUAAAACAAGCCGAGCAAGCCGAGCAACCAACCAACCAACCAACGACAUCCCUUUAAGCUAAUGGAGAGCCUUAUCUGUGGUCGAUCCAUCGAUUCCAAAAAAGAUGAAAGCAUAUGUGGCUGCAUGAAGUGGUAAGUAUGAAAUUGAGGCGGGAAAGUUGAACAAGUUUGGGAUCCCCGACAUGUGAUUCGGAAUUUAAAUUCACUACUAAUUUUACAUUUUUAAUUUGCCUAAGAAAUCCAUAAUGCACGAUGUACAAUGGUAAUUUGAAAUUCCGAAUUUCACAAUGACAAGAUUAUCUACGGAAAAUCUUUAAGGCAGAAUCAUUCAAUUAAAAGGCCACGAAUGUCGAAAUACAAAAGACCUUAUUCCGGCAUUGUGUGCAAUUUUGUAGGGCAAUUGCACAUCACCUGUGCGAAUUAUUUCACAACAAUGAGGCUGACAAAACAAUUAACUUUUAAGGAGUCAUUAAUUAAGCCAAAAGUCCUGAACAAUGCAGAAUGCAACGGAGCAAUCGCUUACCAUCGCAUUCAAUUUGAUUUCUAUAUGCGAGUAUGCCAUCUUCAAUUUGGGGAACACAUGUCGUUGGCAUUUGCAAAUCAAAUCCCUUGGGCAUACAAUCAAAUCAGCCCUGAUGAUUGUGAUGGUGAUGGUGAUGAUGAUGAUGAUGAUGAUGGUGGCAAUGGCGAUGGCAAUGUUGGUGGUGCCAACAAAGAGGACGACAACUUCCUCCUUUCGGGAGACGCUUUAAGUUGCUUAAGAGGAAUCUUAUGCAGAGGGAUUUCGGUGGUUUCCGCAUGCAUUGAAUUGCAGAUUCUCGGGACUGUUUUAAAUGCAGCCCACGCAAACAGAAUCCCCGGGGCAACAACAAAAAGUACAAAAUGGAGAGAAAAUAAGACCAGGGGCUGAUAAGGUGGUGGAGCAGCUCAAAAGUCGGUGGCAAAAGUAUUCAGAAAGAAGUGCAGCUGCAAAAAAGUUUACAUUUCCAGAUGCCAUUUUACUUUACUUUGCCGUUCGGCUUACAUGGCCGUGCGAAAUGUACCUUCUUCCCCUUGGAGGUUUUUCUGGGUGGUGGUGAUGUGGGUGGUGGUGGUCUUUGGGCCGUGUCCUUGUGUAUUUUUGUGACUUUUGGCGCCGCCUGCAAAGACAACAUCGUCGGAGAGUUAAGCAACUUACUUAAGCGAGGGGAAAUGUCUGGGUAGAUGGGGUGUGGGAAAGCCGCUUUCAGGAAAUUGUUGCAUUUCGGUUUUGUAUGUUGCCGUUGCGAGCCGAAAUACACUUGACUUGACUUUUGCCCGCAAAACGCAACGCAGGCAACGGAAGGGGAGGGUGGGUGGAAAGCCGGAAAAACAGGAAAAACAAAGCAAAGAUGGUGGCAAAAAAUCGAGGGCAAAAUGUAACGAGACACAAAACCCCGCCCACUCACUUUCCACUCACUUUGUACGGGAAUAUAUAUGCGGAGCUGUGGCUGUUGCACGUAUUUGUUUUAAUAAAAGUUUUGCAGCAAAACUUAAUGAAAUGUUGGCAGGCCUCAGCCUCAGUCACAGCCACAGCCACAGUCUCAGUCUCAGUCAGCCAUCCUGCUACAAGGACCUCCAUUUCGGGCCUAGCUUGUUUCCCAGACAGGCCCAAGACAUGAACAUGUUCCGACUCCGACUGCUGCUUACUUAUGUGUGUGCAAAUGGGGAGUUAUGGGGAGGGACAGGUCCUUCCAGGACCUCAAAGGAUGUUGUUGAUAUUUACGCUCGAGGAAUUCGGUAGAAUGCCUUUCAAUUAAAACAAGUGUGCAAUAAUUUAAAUGUAUGCCUUGCGGUUAAAAAAGAGCCAAGCUGAGCUGAGCUGAGGGAGAGCUCUGCAAAUUACACGAUCCGUUGUCGAUAAUUGACAGUGCCCACGUCUUAAUGUCUAAGUGCCACUUUGCCAGCCCUGACAGUUUUUGUGGCUUACAGCACAUGCCACAAAAAAAAAGAGCAAAUCAACAUAUUCUCGUUUAUGUAGCUUCAAACGUAGGGCAAAAAACGCAUUACACAAACAUGACCAAAACCAAAGACAGCUUGUUAAUUGGAAAGUUUUAUGCAAUUAUAAAACUUUUUUCAUUAUUCCCUGGUGUUCUUUUCGUUUGUCCUGUUGAUAUUUUGUCGCUCCGAAAGCAUACAAUUCGGUCCAACCUGCAAAUGAGAGUAGAAGUACUGACAACCAAAGGUGGCCAAAACGAUCCGGUAGAAACUGUAACUGAGACGUACCCAACUCAUGUGUGACCAAAGUUAAAAUGAAAAUGCACAGCGGCAGGAAAGCAUGGCUACAUGGAUACAUGGCUAGAUGAGUGGAUGAAUGGGGAAAUGGGGAGAUGGGAUGAUGUCCUUGCACACAUACAGGAUGGAUGCUGGCGAGUCACAAAAACGGCAAAAUGUCACUGCCAGCAGGGCAGCGUGGCCAACAUGUCGCAUGAGUGUUUUGUGCUAACUGCAAACGCAAAAUUAAUUUCAUUUUGAAAAGUCCGCCCCCGUCCCCAAAGUGACAAUUGCAUGAGUUGGCAAAGUGUUUAGCAUGAAUUUCAUUGAAGGCCAGCGGCCAACAGCCAACAGCCAACGGCCAACGGCCAACAAUUUAAGCAACUUUAAGGGGGUGGUCCCCGAAAAGAGGAGGAAUCCCUCAUCCAGAGCUACCAGAGGACGGCCCAAAUGAAUAUGUAAGCGGUCCCACUUGGCCAUUUACGUGUACAAUUGAUGUGGUUUGAUUUCGUUAGGGGCAUUGCCAACUACAUAAACACAAUAACAAGCAGAAGGAAGGAGAAAGGAGGAGAAGGAGGAGUCGGCCCAUUCAAGUAGACAUCGCCCGACUAAAAGCCGUCCCAAAUGGCCUCCGGCGGAGUUUGCAGGCCAAGUAUCCAGUCAGCCAAAUGAAACGAAUGAAUAAAUGAGGCCAGAGGCCCAGGACAGUUCGAUUCGUAUUCCCUUCCCUUCUUUUUCCUUUACUUUCCUAUCCAUUUCGAUUCCGAUUCCUAUUGCUACUUCGCUGACAGUCAAUUCAACGGAGAGGAGCAUGUGCACAUAAUAGCUGCUAAGCAACUGCACUCGAGUGUCUUUGUAUGUGUAUGUACGUAGUUGUAUCUGCUUGGCUGCGUAUCUGUAUCUUUGUAUCUUUGUAUCCAUAUCCUUGAGCUCGCCGCCGGUGCCAUGUCCCAGUUGGCAUGUCAGCUACUCGUUGGGCCGCGUUCUCCAUUUAAAUGGUUUUGAAAUUGAUUUCAUUUGAUCGCAAAUUAUAAUAUUUUACUCACGACAAGUGGUAUGUCCUAUAUGCGAACACUGAAAAAAUGCCAUAGUAGUUGUACAUCUUGUAUUUAUUUUUAUAUAUGCUAUGCAAGCUAUGAAAUAUCAAAAUUAGAGUUCCAAACUAAAAAAAAACAGUUGCUAUGUAAGUAGGCAAGUUAAUGUUGUAUUUUAAUAUUGAUAUAACACUAUUUUCCUUAGUGUAAAAUCAAUCUGGAAUACAAGUAUCUCGGGCACAAUUCAUGCUUAUUAGUAUCUGUUUGGCUGAAAGUCGAACCCAAAACUUGAUGGAUUCGCUCGAUGGGUCGUGAUUGUUGUUUGCAUGUUUAUUAUUAUGGGCCAGUCGAGAAGACCAGCCGGAAGUCUCGAAUGGAACACAAAAUGCCGUCCAAUCGGGAGCCAUAACGGAGACCCAAGAGUGCGUAACGGAAGUGCCUCGUCCAAAGGAUGCGAAGGAUGCAAAGGAUGUGGAGGAUGCGGAGGAUGUGGAGGAUGCCCUUUGUGUUUGCAGUCGGGCAAAUAUAAUAAAUAACUUUUUGCUACUUUUCGUAUUUGGUCAAUGCUCGACAUGGGUCCUGUUUCUCCGCUUUAAACUUUGUCUCUCUAAUGGCUUUUCGAUUGCCUCUCGGCUACUUUUCUGCACUCAUCCGAUUCCGAACGGAAAAUCAAUACAUUAUAUAUACUAUA